AAUUUAUUUCAUCAGGUCUUAAGGCACCCUGAAGAGAUGUUACAAGUUGUUCUUUUAAAUGCGGGUUCCUUUUAAGACUGUGUAAACAUAGCUUUGAAUAAGAUAAUUUCCUGUAAAUCUUUGCUUAAAUUAUUUCUUUACAGUGCACAGACAUUGUGUUUUGUGACAAAAAUACAGUGUGAAUUAAGUAAAUAUGGUAGAUAGUGUAUAUAUAUACAUUGAAGAGUAAUAGAUUGGCAGACAAUCAGAUCAACAGGCUGAAGAAGAGAGAAAACUAACAAACAAUCUUUGAGACCCAGAUAGAUAUACAGUUUCACAUAAAGAUAUACAGUACAUAGUUACAGUGAACUUUUUAUUUUUGCAAUGCUUUUCCAGUGCCUCUCCCCUUUGCAAUUUUACACUGUACUUUAUGUGUGUGUGUGUCGCCUCAGCCACCAUCAAUAUGCAGCACCCCGCAAGGUGGAGCGAGACAACUAACCUAGUCCUGGAGGCCUCACCCACAUUGUUGGCUAUUGCACUGGAGAGGUGAGUAAACAGGAAGACAGACAGACAGACAGACAGACAUGCAGACAGACGGACAGACAGCACAAGACUUGGUUGUGGCAACGUGGACCACAACACAAAGAUCUAUCUAUAAUUCCCUAAAUAUGGUAAGGAUCACAAUGUAUUUAUAUGUAGAAAGGGACUUUGUAAUUGGCAUUUCAUAUACAGGGAUACAGUGGCUAUACUUGAUUAUCAACAUACGUUCCUAUGAAGUCUUUGUGAUGUGAUAUGUGAGUAUUCUGGAGAUGUGUUGGAAACGAUUCUACUUUCUCAAUUGUACAAUACAGCAAGAUAAAAAUCCUCCCAGCACCGGCAAUAAUACAGUCGUUCAUACUGUUUGGAGAGAUGAAAACAACACUCUCUUCCUGAUAGCAGGAAGAUCUAUAAAAAAAAAUUAAAAAGUUGUAUCAGCAAUAACACAACAGCUCCAAAUAGCUUGCUUGCAAUGGCUAUAAAUUACCUAAUCACAUCAAUACUAAAAUAAAAAAAUCAAAUGAGUGAAGAAUGAACAGUGCAACAGGUGAAUGGAUGGAUGGAUGGAUGGAUGGGUGGAUGGAUGGAUGAGGAGCAGAGUGCACCAGCUGGGCGUAGCCUUGGUGUGACAUAACGUCCGACUUAGACCUGAAAGUUAUGACCAAUGUAAGGUCAUGACUAGUGCACCAUUUAGACUGAUGUAUGUUUUGUGCCUGGGUAUAACUGGAGCGCUUUUGAUAAGUGUCACUCGACAGAAAUGACGUAUCUUCAAAUGAAAGAAAAAAAAAAGUGUCGCGCACCUGGAGAAGCUUGUCAUGUCGCGGACACCGUCAUCUUUUGUCGCGAAGUGUGAUUGGUUAGUGCUAGCGUCGCCAUGGAGAUUGUAGCUUUCACUAAACUUCCUUAUCGAUAUUUUGGUCCGUAACUUUAGAUAACUUGUAACAUCCUCGUUUAUUUGGUCCCGGUCAGAUGAUAACUGAAUAAGCCGGCUGCAGGAUACCGUCUAGAGACUAGUAACCAUGGUAACAAAAAAUCACAUCACACAACCAGAAAAGAAAAACAGCGAUGGCAGUGUGUCUUGUUUACAGGCAUCAAGACGAGGAAGAGGCCUCCGUGAUCGGACAAACCCGCUGGACAUCUCAGACAGUGAGAUGAUUGAGAGUCUUUGUUUGGCAGGCAAGAGCUGUAUGAACUAAUCCAAGAAACAAAUGAUCCGUUGUUUUCACUAAAGAAUGAUCUUCCAUAGCUUGUUUGAAGGGAGAAGUUAGGCUGCGCUUUGGAUAGAAGUGUGUUGCUUGGCAACAAUCAUCACGUGGACGCGCAUCAUAAAGAGCAGGGGCAGCUCCGACCGUGGUCAGUCAGGCUGGGUGCACGCGGUGUCACAGAAUCUAAUGGGUCAUCAAAUACGGUGUAACACCGGUGUAAGAGUUCAGACCUCCUUUUUUCCGCUCAGCUGGUGCACUCUGCUGCAGAUCAGGAGCAGAGCCUGUGUCUUGGUCUCUCGGGAUCUUUGAGGAGGUGACGCGGCCCAGGAACUUAUCCCUUUCGUCGUUGUUGCGAAGGUCAGAGCCCUCUACCCUGCACUCCACCGGCAGCUCCUUGUUGUAGUC